AUUGAACGCUGGCGGCAGGCCUUACACAUGCAAGUCGAACGAGUGGCGGACGGGUGAGUAAUGUCUGGGAAACUGCCUGAUGGAGGGGGAUAACUACUGGAAACGGUAGCUAAUACCGCAUACCAUCAGAGGUGCACAGAUGGGAUUAUCUAGUUGGUGGGGUAACGGCUCACCAAGGCAACGAUCCCUAGCUGGGUUGAGAGGAUGACCAGCCACACUGGGACUGUGACACGGUCCAGACUCCUACGGGAGGCAGCAGUGGGGAAUAUUGGACAAUGGGCGCAACCCUGAUGCAGCCAUCCCGCGUGUAUGAUGAAGGCCUUCGGGUUGUAAAGUACUUUCUGCGUGGAGGCGUUACCCGCAGAAUAAGCACCGGCUAACUGCGUGCCAGCAGCCGCGGUAAUAC
rnacentral:rRNA from 1 species